UACAGAGGGGGCGAGCGUUAUUCGGAAUUAUUGGGCGUAAAGGGCGCGUAGGCGGCCGUGUAAGUCUCGGGUGAAAUCCCUCGGCUCAACCGAGGAACUGCCUUGGAUACUGCAUGGCUUGAGGCCGGGAGAGGGUAGUGGAAUUCCCAGUGUAGCGGUGAAAUGCGUAGAUAUUGGGAGGAACACCGGUGGCGAAGGCGGCAUCCUGGACCAAUACUGACACUGAGGAGCGAAAGCCAGGGGAGCAAACGGG
rnacentral:rRNA from 1 species